GGGUGCGAUGACUACUUCGACUUACGUUUCCUGUAUCGUUUUCAACCUGAUUCCAUCCCGCUUUAAAGUCAGCGAUAUGUUCUAGGCUUACGUGACUUGUAUGGUAGGAAUCGAGGAUCUCUUUCAGGACAACUUUAAAGUCUCCCGAAAGUGCUGACCAAAAAUUUCGGAUUUUUUGUACAGCGCUAUUACCCUUGUGU
rnacentral:lncRNA from 1 species